UACAUAGGUGCAGCGUGUCGGAAUUAUUGGCGUAAAGAGCGUGUAGGCGGCCCGACCAGUCCGCUGUGAAAGUCCUGGGCUCAACCCUGGAAUGCCGGUGGAUACUGUCGGGCUAGAGUCCGGAAGGGGCGAGUGGAAUUCCUGGUGUAGCGGUGAAAUGCGCAGAUAUCAGGAGGAACACCAAUGGCGAAGGCAGCUCGCUGGGACGUGACUGACGCUGAGACGCGAAAGCGUGGGGAGCAAACAGG
rnacentral:rRNA from 1 species